rnacentral:rRNA from 1 species
GGGUUGUGAGGUUAAGCGACUAAGCGUACACGGUGGAUGCCCUGGCAGUCAGAGGCGAUGAAGGGCGUGCUAAUCUGCGAUAAGCGCCGGUAAGGUGAUAUGAACCGUUAUAACCGGCGAUACCCGAAUGGGGAAACCCAGUGUGAUUCGUCACACUAUCAUUAACUGAAUCCAUAGGUUAAUGAGGCGAACCGGGGGAACUGAAACAUCUAAGUACCCCGAGGAAAAGAAAUCAACCGAGAUUCCCCCAGUAGCGGCGAGCGAACGGGGAGGAGCCCAGAGCCUGAAUCAGCAUGUGUGUUAGUGGAAGCGUCUGGAAAGGCGCGCGAUACAGGGUGACAGCCCCGUACACAAAAGCGCAUGUGCUGUGAGCUCGAUGAGUAGGGCGGGACACGUGGUAUCCUGUCUGAAUAUGGGGGGACCAUCCUCCAAGGCUAAAUACUCCUGACUGACCGAUAGUGAACCAGUACCGUGAGGGAAAGGCGAAAAGAACCCCGGCGAGGGGAGUGAAAAAGAACCUGAAACCGUGUACGUACAAGCAGUGGGAGCCCCACCACUAAGCCAGUGGUGAACUCCACAUACGCAUCCUUUGCUGAGGAGACGGUUAACGGAGCGAAAGCGACGUUCAACCUCAAAACAAGCAGAGGGGGCUUAGUGGUGGGGUGACUGCGUACCUUUUGUAUAAUGGGUCAGCGACUUAUAUUCUGUAGCAAGGUUAACCGAAUAGGGGAGCCGGAGGGAAACCGAGUCUUAAUUGGGCGUUAAGUUGCAGGGUAUAGACCCGAAACCCGGUGAUCUAGCCAUGGGCAGGUUGAAGGUUGGGUAACACUAACUGGAGGACCGAACCGACUAAUGUUGAAAAAUUAGCGGAUGACCUGUGGCUGGGGGUGAAAGGCCAAUCAAACCGGGAGAUAGCUGGUUCUCCCCGAAAGCUAUUUAGGUAGCGCCUCGUGAAUUCAUCUCCGGGGGUAGAGCACUGUUUCGGCUAGGGGGCCAUCCCGGCUUACCAACCCGAUGCAAACUGCGAAUACCGGAGAAUGUUAUCACGGGAGACACACGGCGGGUGCUAACGUCCGUCGUGAAGAGGGAAACAACCCAGACCGCCAGCUAAGGUCCCAAAGUCAUGGUUAAGUGGGAAACGAUGUGGGAAGGCCCAGACAGCCAGGAUGUUGGCUUAGAAGCAGCCAUCAUUUAAAGAAAGCGUAAUAGCUCACUGGUCGAGUCGGCCUGCGCGGAAGAUGUAACGGGGCUAAACCAUGCACCGAAGCUGCGGCAGCGACGCUUAUGCGUUGUUGGGUAGGGGAGCGUUCUGUAAGCCUGUGAAGGUGGCCUGUGAGGGUUGCUGGAGGUAUCAGAAGUGCGAAUGCUGACAUAAGUAACGAUAAAGCGGGUGAAAAGCCCGCUCGCCGGAAGACCAAGGGUUCCUGUCCAACGUUAAUCGGGGCAGGGUGAGUCGACCCCUAAGGCGAGGCCGAAAGGCGUAGUCGAUGGGAAACGGGUUAAUAUUCCCGUACUUGGUGUUACUGCGAAGGGGGGACGGAGAAGGCUAUGUUGGCCGGGCGACGGUUGUCCCGGUUUAAGCGUGUAGGUGUGUGUUCCAGGUAAAUCCGGUUCACUUUAACACUGAGGCGUGAUGACGAGGCACUACGGUGCUGAAGCAACAAAUGCCCUGCUUCCAGGAAAAGCCUCUAAGCAUCAGGUAACAUCAAAUCGUACCCCAAACCGACACAGGUGGUCAGGUAGAGAAUACCAAGGCGCUUGAGAGAACUCGGGUGAAGGAACUAGGCAAAAUGGUGCCGUAACUUCGGGAGAAGGCACGCUGACACGUAGGUGAAGUGAUUUACUCAUGGAGCUGAAGUCAGUCGAAGAUACCAGCUGGCUGCAACUGUUUAUUAAAAACACAGCACUGUGCAAACACGAAAGUGGACGUAUACGGUGUGACGCCUGCCCGGUGCCGGAAGGUUAAUUGAUGGGGUCAGCGCAAGCGAAGCUCCUGAUCGAAGCCCCGGUAAACGGCGGCCGUAACUAUAACGGUCCUAAGGUAGCGAAAUUCCUUGUCGGGUAAGUUCCGACCUGCACGAAUGGCGUAAUGAUGGCCAGGCUGUCUCCACCCGAGACUCAGUGAAAUUGAACUCGCUGUGAAGAUGCAGUGUACCCGCGGCAAGACGGAAAGACCCCGUGAACCUUUACUAUAGCUUGACACUGAACAUUGAGCCUUGAUGUGUAGGAUAGGUGGGAGGCUUUGAAGCGUGGACGCCAGUCUGCGUGGAGCCGACCUUGAAAUACCACCCUUUAAUGUUUGAUGUUCUAACGUGGACCCGUUACCCGGGUUGCGGACAGUGUCUGGUGGGUAGUUUGACUGGGGCGGUCUCCUCCUAAAGAGUAACGGAGGAGCACGAAGGUUGGCUAAUCCUGGUCGGACAUCAGGAGGUUAGUGCAAUGGCAUAAGCCAGCUUGACUGCGAGCGUGACGGCGCGAGCAGGUGCGAAAGCAGGUCAUAGUGAUCCGGUGGUUCUGAAUGGAAGGGCCAUCGCUCAACGGAUAAAAGGUACUCCGGGGAUAACAGGCUGAUACCGCCCAAGAGUUCAUAUCGACGGCGGUGUUUGGCACCUCGAUGUCGGCUCAUCACAUCCUGGGGCUGAAGUAGGUCCCAAGGGUAUGGCUGUUCGCCAUUUAAAGUGGUACGCGAGCUGGGUUUAGAACGUCGUGAGACAGUUCGGUCCCUAUCUGCCGUGGGCGCUGGAGAACUGAGGGGGGCUGCUCCUAGUACGAGAGGACCGGAGUGGACGCAUCACUGGUGUUCGGGUUGUCAUGCCAAUGGCACUGCCCGGUAGCUAAAUGCGGAAGAGAUAAGUGCUGAAAGCAUCUAAGCACGAAACUUGCCCCGAGAUGAGUUCUCCCUGAGACUUAAAGUCUCCUGAAGGAACGUUGAAGACGACGACGUUGAUAGGCCGGGUGUGUAAGCGCAGCGAUGCGUUGAGCUAACCGGUACUAAUGAACCGUGAGGCUUAACCUUACAACGCCGAAG